CGGCGACCGGCGCACGGGUGAGUAACGCGUAUGCAACCUGCCCUUCACAGGGGGAUAACCGGGAGAAAUUCCGACUAAUACCGCAUACGUCCUCCGGGGGCAUCCCCUGGGGAUGAAAGAUUUAUCGGCGAAGGAUGGGCAUGCGUGAUAUUAGGUAGUUGGCGGGGCAACGGCCCACCAAGCCCACGAUAUCUAGGGGUUCUGAGAGGAAGGUCCCCCACAUUGGUACUGAGACACGGACCAAACUCCUACGGGAGGCAGCAGUGAGGAAUAUUGGUCAAUGGACGAGAGUCUGAACCAGCCAAGUCGCGUGAAGGAAGACGGAUCUAUGGUUUGUAAACUUCCUUAGUGCGGGAACAAAGCGGCGUCGUGAUGCCGGAUGAGUGUACCGCAAGAAUAAGCAUCGGCUAACUCCGUGCCAGCAGCCGCGGUAAUACGGAGGAUGCGAGCGUUAUCCGGAUUUAUUGGGUUUAAAGGGAGCGCAGGCUGCGAGGCAAGUCAGCGGUCAAAUGUCGGGGCUCAACCCCGGCCUGCCGUUGAAACUGUCCUGCUAGAGUUCGAGUGAGGUAUGCGGAAUGCGUUGUGUAGCGGUGAAAUGCAUAGAUAUGACGCAGAACUCCGAUUGCGAAGGCAGCAUA
rnacentral:rRNA from 1 species